AGAUGGACGACGAUGGCGGCCGCCGAAACGCCCCGGGCGCACUGAUGGAGGCCGGGCGCGGUGCGGGGCCCGCGGGCAUGGCGGAGCCCGCGGCAGUGCCGCGGGUGCGGGCGGCGCGGCCGGGGCCCCAGCGCUUCCUGCGGCGCAGCGUGGUGGAGUCUGAUCAGGAGGAGCCGCCGGGCCUGGAGGCUGCCGAGGCGCCGGGCGCGCAGCCCCCGCAGCCGCUGCAGCGCAGGGUGCUGCUGCUAUGCAAGACGCGCCGCCUCAUCGCCGAGCGCGCCCGAGGUCGCCCGGCCGCCCCGGCGCCCGCCGCGCCUGCUGCGCCGCCGAGCAACCUUGCCGACCCCGGCCUGGAGCCGGCUGGAGCGCAGGAACCCGGCCCGGACCCCGCGCCCGCUCCCGUGCCCGCCCCCGACGGCGGUCCCCGAGAGGAGACAGCGGCCACGAGGAAGGAGGACACGGGGGCUCCCGAGGCCAGGCCGGAGCUCGGGCGCGCACGCCGGGAGGAGCCCGAGGAGGAGGAAGACGACGAGGACGACCUGAAGGCUGUGGCCACCUCCCUGGAUGGCCGGUUCCUCAAGUUUGACAUUGAGCUUGGCCGCGGCUCUUUCAAGACUGUCUAUAAGGGGUUGGAUACGGAGACCUGGGUGGAGGUAGCCUGGUGCGAGCUGCAGGACCGGAAGCUCACCAAACUGGAGAGGCAGCGGUUCAAGGAGGAGGCCGAGAUGCUGAAGGGCCUGCAGCACCCUAACAUUGUGCGCUUCUAUGACUUCUGGGAGUCCAGUGCCAGGGGGAAGCGGUGCAUUGUGCUGGUGACCGAACUGAUGACCUCGGGGACACUGAAGACGUAUCUGAAGCGGUUCAAGGUGAUGAAGCCCAAGGUUCUACGUAGCUGGUGCCGGCAGAUCCUGAAGGGCCUGCUGUUCCUGCACACCAGGACGCCCCCCAUCAUCCACCGGGACCUCAAGUGUGACAACAUCUUUAUCACUGGGCCCACAGGGUCUGUGAAGAUCGGCGACUUGGGCCUGGCCACCCUCAAGAGAGCAUCCUUUGCUAAAAGCGUGAUAGGUACCCCCGAGUUCAUGGCACCAGAGAUGUACGAGGAGCACUACGAUGAGUCUGUGGACGUGUAUGCCUUCGGGAUGUGCAUGCUGGAGAUGGCCACCUCGGAGUACCCCUACUCAGAGUGCCAGAAUGCCGCCCAGAUCUACAGGAAGGUCACCUGUGGCAUCAAGCCAGCCAGCUUUGAGAAAGUACACGAUCCUGAAAUCAAGGAGAUUAUUGGGGAGUGUAUCUGCAAAAACAAGGAAGAAAGGUAUGAGAUCAAGGACCUGCUCAGCCAUGCCUUCUUCGCGGAGGACACAGGUGUGAGGGUGGAGCUGGCCGAGGAGGACCAUGGCAGGAAGUCCACCAUUGCCCUGCGGCUCUGGGUUGAGGACCCUAAGAAACUGAAGGGCAAGCCCAAGGACAACGGGGCCAUAGAGUUCACCUUCGACCUGGAGAGGGAGACGCCAGAUGACGUGGCACAGGAAAUGAUUGAGUCAGGAUUUUUCCAUGAGAGUGACGUGAAGAUUGUGGCCAAGUCCAUCCGUGACCGUGUGGCACUGAUCCAGUGGCGGCGAAAGAGGAUCUGGCCAGCGCUGCAGCCCCAGGAGCAGCGGGAGCUCGGCAGCCCUGACAAGGCCAGGGGCCCACCCACGCCCCUGCAGGUCCAGGUGACCUACCACUCGCAGGCCGGGCUGCCAGAGUCCGAGGAGCCCGAGGCCGACCAGCACCUCCUCACCCCUGCGCUGCCGGCCAGCGCCACCUCCCUGGCCUCGGACAGCACGUUCGACAGUGGCCAGGGCUCCACGGUGUAUUCAGACUCGCAGAGUAGCCAGCAGAGUGUUGUGCUGGGGUCACUGGCAGACGGAGCGCCACCCCCCUCCCAGUGUGUGUGCAGCCCCCCUGUGAGCGUGAGUGAUGGGCCUGUCCUGCCACAUAGCCUGCCCUCCCUGGGGGCCUACCAGCAGCCUGCCACGCCUGGCCUGUCGGUGGGCUCUGUCCCACCCACCGCCCGCCCUCCGCUCCCACAGCAGCCUUUCCCAGAGCCAGCCAUGAGCUUCGCCCCUGUACUACCACCGCCCAGUGCCCCUGUGCCAACAGGCCCAGGCCAGCCCACAGCCCCUGCCCACCAGCCUUCUCUCCUGACCCAGCCGGUACCCUUGCCGCAGGUCCUGGCCCCACAACCCGUGGGCCCUCUGCAGCCAGCGCCCUCCCACCUGCCUCCGUACCUGGCUCCAACCUCUCAGGUGGUGGCCCCUGCUCAGCUGAAGCCCCUCCAGAUGCCUCCGGCGCCCCUGCAGCCACUUGCUCAAAUCCCCCCGCAGAUGCCUCCACUUCCUGUUGUCCCCCCCAUCGCUCCGCUGGCCACAGUUGACAGCCUCCCCACAGCCCUUCCUGACCUGCCAGCCACCAGUGGGCCCACCGUGCCUCCCCCCUCUCAGUAUUUCUCUCCAGCUGUCAUCUUGCCAAGCCUCCCACUCAGUGCCACCACUGCUCCCCUGCCUGCGUCGCCGGCUCUGCCUCUGCAGACAGUCAAGCUGCCUCACCCUGCUGGGGCACCGCUGGCUGUGCCAUGCCGGACCAUCGUGCCAAAUGUGGCGGCGACUGCCACCGCCAUCCCUCUGCUGGCUGUGGCCCCACAGGGUGUGGCCACCCUGUCCAUUCACCCCACCGUGGCCCAGCUCCCGGCGCAGCCCGUGUACCCAGCGGCCUUUCCGCAGAUGGUGCCCAGCGACGUCCCGCCUUCUCCCCUCCACGCAGCGCAGACUGUGCAGGCUGCCGCUCCCCAGCCGACACCGCCCGUGCUGCCGCAGCCCCACCAGCCGAGUGUUGCCCGCCUCCCGGAGCAGGCUGCUCCGGCUGCCAGCGCUGGAAGCCAGGAGCAGGCCUCGCAGGACAAGCAGCCCAGCCUCCCUCAGAGCUGUGAGAGCUAUGGAGGCUCUGACGUCCCUUCUGGAAGAGAGAUGAGUGACAGCUGUGAAGGUGCAUUUGGUGGGGGAAAGCUGGAAGGCAAGGCCGCCCGGAAACAUCACCGCAGGUCCACGCGUGUGCGCUCCCGCCAGGAGAGGGCCAGUCGGCCCCGACUGACCAUCCUGAAUGUGUGCAACACGGGUGACAAGAUGGUGGAGUGCCAGUUGGAGACGCACAACCACAAGAUGGUGACGUUCAAGUUUGACCUGGAUGGGGACGCGCCUGACGAGAUCGCUACCUACAUGGUAGAGCAUGACUUCAUCCUGCAGGCUGAGCGGGAGACAUUCAUUGAGCAGAUGAAGGAUGUCAUGGACAAGGCAGAGGAUAUGCUCAGUGAGGACACGGAUGUGGACCGUGCCUCCGACCCUGGGGUGAGCCCGCCACACCUCAGCACCUGUGGCCUGGGUGCUGGGGAGGAGAAUCGCCAAUCCCAAGCAAACGCCCCAGUGUACCAGCAAAAUGUCCUGCACACUGGGAAGAGGUGGUUUAUCAUCUGUCCGGUGGCCGAGCACCCAGCAGUAGAGGCCCCCGAAUCUUCACCCCCACUUCCUCUGAGCUCCCUGCAGCCAGACACCAGCCAAGAUUCAGCACCCUCUAAAGACCAGCUAUCCUCCAAGGAGAAACCCAGCUUCUCAACUGAUCUGCAGCUUCUGAGCCAAGCAGGCCCCAGGGACCUUCCUGGUGGUGCACCAGCCCCUUUGGUGCCGUCAUCCCCUCCCGUGACUGCUCUGUCCCAAGACAUGGCCCCACCAGCUGCCAGUCCUAAGCUGGAGCCAGCAACGGGGCCUGCCAUGCAGGCCGGGGGCCCAGGAACCCCUCAUGGGCCAGCCAGUGAGCAUAAGACUCCCUGGCCACUAAUGGAGACUCUUGAUGCUCACCUUGUUGCACAGUCCCCUGACAUGGGCCGAGGGCCUUGUGCCCCACCUUUGGAGGCCCCCCUUCACCCCAUGGGUCUGGGGGAUCCUGCCUUAGCCAGAGAGCCCAUCACCAAGGGGGAGCCCCUGCCAGCUUUGGCCCCCACAUCUGCUGCCCCUGGUGGGGCCCCUCAGCCCACUGUGAGCCAGCCCCUUCCCCCACUCCCCACUGUGGUAGGAGCAAUCAGUCUGGCCACUCCCCAGCUCCCCAGUCCCCCGCUGGCACCCACCGGCCCUCCUCAGCCACCUUCAGCCUUGGAGUCAGAUGGAGAAGGGCCGCCCCCAAGGGUGGGCUUUGUGGACAGCACCAUCAAGAGCCUGGACGAGAAGCUGAGGACUCUGCUCUACCAGGAGCACGUGCCCACCUCCUCAGCCUCGGCCGGGACCCCUGUGGAGGCAGGUGACCGAGACAUCACCCUGGAACUCCCAAGAGGGGAUGAGCCCCGUACAGAGGCCUCUGGGGGCAGUCUGGCCGUGCUGCUUCAGCCUGCGUUGGAAAAGUCAGAAAUGGCCCCUGGAUUAGAGGUCACACUGGAGCAGUCCGUGUCCUCGUCAGUGACAGCUGAAUCAUCUUUGAGCCACACGCUUGGCCGUGAGGGAGCACAGGUGGCCUCAGAUUUGCUUGCAGCACCCAGUGCCCCCCAGGAUGUCCCUGCUUCUGCCAUCCCUGCCCAUCUGGAGCCCACAGACCGGACCAGCAGGGUCCCUGGGGAAACCUUGGCCGAGUCCAUGCAGAGCUGCCCGGGGACGUUGAUUGAGGGUGGCCAGGCCAGCCAACCCCAGCCUCACAGCACUCUGGUAUCAGGAUCCCCUCCGAAGUGGCCAGGGCAGCAGGAUGGCAGCUCGCCAGCCAAAACCGUGGGCCGGUUCUCAGUGGUCAGCACUCAGGAUGAGUGGACUCUGGCCUCCCCCAAUAGCCUGCGGUACUCAGCCCCACCUGACGUUUACCUGGAUGAGGCUCCCUGCAGCCCAGACAUGAAGCUGGCUGUGCGGCGGGCACAGACGGCCUCCUCCAUCGAGGUCGGCAUGGAAGAGCCCAUGUCCAGUGACUCUGGGGACGAGUCCCCUCGCGGGAGGCCUUCUGUGCAGAAGCAUGCCUCCCUGCCCAGCAGCAGUGGUGGUGUGGCCAGUGACUUUGUGAAGAAGGCCGCUGCCUUCCUGCAGAGGUCCUCUCGGGCUGGCUCCCCAGGCCUGGAGACACCCAGCAGGAUGGGCGUGAAGGUCCCCACCAUCAGCGUGACCUCCUUCCACUCCCAGUCAUCCUACAUCAGCAGUGACAACGACUCAGAGAUUGAGGAUGCUGAUAUCAGGAAAGAGCUGCAGAGUCUUCGAGAGAAGCAUCUGAAGGAGAUCUCAGAGCUACAAAGUCAGCAGAAACAGGAGAUUGAGGCCCUGUACCGCCGCCUAGGCAAGCCGCUACCCCCCAAUUUAGGCCUCUUCCACACGGCCCCACCCAUCGGCCGCCGGAGAAAGACCAGCAAGAGCAAGCUGAAGGCGGGGAAGUUGCUGAGCCCCCUGGUGCAGCAGCUCAAGGUCGUGGCCUCCAGCACAGGUCACUUGUCAGACUGCAGCAGAGCCCCUCCUGCUAAGGACCCUGCCCAAGCUGGGGCAGGGCCCACAGCAGCUUCAGACCCAUGUGGGAAGGCAGUUCAGACUCAGCAGCCUUGCUCCGUGCGGGCCUCCCUGUCUGCAGACAUCUGCUCCGGCUUGGCCAGUGAUGGAGGCGGAGCGCAUGGCCCAGGCUGGACGGUUUACCACCCAACGUCUGAGAGAGUGACCUAUAAGUCUAGUAGCAAACCUCGCGCUCGAUUCCUCAGUGGACCCGUGUCUGUGUCCAUCUGGUCUGCCUUGAAGCGUCUCUGUCUAGGCAAAGAGCACAGCAGUCGGUCCUCCACCAGCAGCCUGGUCCCGGGCCCUGAGCCGGGCCCCCAACCUGCCCUGCACAUCCAGGCGCAGGUGAACAACAGCAACAACAAGAAAGGCACCUUCACGGACGACCUGCACAAGCUGGUGGACGAGUGGACAAGCAAGACGGUCGGGGCCACACAACUAAAGCCGUCACUCAACCAGUUGAAGCAGACGCAGAAAUUGCAUGACAUGGAAGCCACAGCAGGCUGGCCCCUGGCCUCUGGCGAGGCACGGGCUAUGAACACCUCUCGAACAGCAAUGGGGAUGCCAUGUCUGGCCCCGGUACCCAGCCCUGUACCCACCGUGGUCAUUCCUGGAGCUGCCUCAGCCCUUCCUGUGCCCAUGCCAGAUUCUGAAAGUGAGAAGCCCGACUGA
rnacentral:lncRNA from 1 species